UACGGAGGGUGCAAGCGUUAUCCGGAAUCAUUGGGCUUAAAGGGUCCGCAGGCGGUCUUAUAAGUCAGUGGUGAAAGCCUACAGCUCAACUGUAGAACUGCCAUUGAUACUGUAAGACUUGAAUUCGAUCGAAGUGGGCGGAAUAUGACAUGUAGCGGUGAAAUGCUUAGAUAUGUCAUAGAACACCGAUAGCGAAGGCAGCUCACUAGGUCUGGAUUGACGCUCAGGGACGAAAGCGUGGGGAGCAAACAGG
rnacentral:rRNA from 1 species